rnacentral:rRNA from 1 species
AUUGAACGCUGGCGGCAUGCCUUACACAUGCAAGUCGAACGGUAACAGGUCUUCGGAUGCUGACGAGUGGCGAACGGGGGAGUAAUACAUCGGAACGUGCCCGAUCGUGGGGGAUAACGAAGCGAAAGCUUUGCUAAUACCGCAUAAGAUCUACGGAUGAAAGCAGGGGACCGCAAGGCCUUGCGCGAACGGAGCGGCCGAUGGCAGAUUAGGUAGUUGGUGGGAUAAAAGCUUACCAAGCCGACGAUCUGUAGCUGGUCUGAGAGGACGACCAGCCACACUGGGACUGAGACACGGCCCAGACUCCUACGGGAGGCAGCAGUGGGGAAUUUUGGACAAUGGGCGAAAGCCUGAUCCAGCCACGCCGCGUGCAGGAUGAAGGCCUUCGGGUUGUAAACUGCUUUUGUACGGAACGAAAAGACUCUGGUUAAUGCCUGGGGUCCAUGACGGUACCGUAAGAAUAAGCACCGGCUAACUACGUG